rnacentral:rRNA from 1 species
GGCUCAGAUUGAACGCUGGCGGCAUGCUUUACACAUGCAAGUCGAACGGCAGCGCGGGGCAACCUGGCGGCGAGUGGCGAACGGGUGAGUAAUACAUCGGAACGUACCCAGAAGUGGGGGAUAACGUAGCGAAAGUUACGCUAAUACCGCAUACGUUCUACGGAAGAAAGUGGGGGAUCGCAAGACCUCAUGCUUUUGGAGCGGCCGAUGUCUGAUUAGCUAGUUGGUAGGGUAAAGGCCUACCAAGGCGACGAUCAGUAGCUGGUCUGAGAGGACGACCAGCCACACUGGGACUGAGACACGGCCCAGACUCCUACGGGAGGCAGCAGUGGGGAAUUUUGGACAAUGGGCGCAAGCCUGAUCCAGCAAUGCCGCGUGAGUGAAGAAGGCCUUCGGGUUGUAAAGCUCUUUUGUCAGGGAAGAAACGGCCUGGGUUAAUACCCCGGGCUAAUGACGGUACCUGAAGAAUAAGCACCGGCUAACUACGUGCCAGCAGCCGCGGUAAUACGUAGGGUGCAAGCGUUAAUCGGAAUUACUGGGCGUAAAGCGUGCGCAGGCGGUUUUGUAAGUCUGACGUGAAAUCCCCGGGCUCAACCUGGGAAUUGCGUUGGAGACUGCAAGGCUGGAGUCUGGCAGAGGGGGGUAGAAUUCCACGUGUAGCAGUGAAAUGCGUAGAGAUGUGGAGGAACACCGAUGGCGAAGGCAGCCCCCUGGGUCAAGACUGACGCUCAUGCACGAAAGCGUGGGGAGCAAACAGGAUUAGAUACCUGGUAGUCCACGCCCUAAACGAUGUCUACUAGUUGUCGGGUCUUAAUUGACUUGGUAACGCAGCUAACGCGUGAAGUAGACCGCCUGGGGAGUACGGUCGCAAGAUUAAAACUCAAAGGAAUUGACGGGGACCCGCACAAGCGGUGGAUGAUGUGGAUUAAUUCGAUGCAACGCGAAAAACCUUACCUACCCUUGACAUGUCAGGAACCCCCGAGAGAUCGGGGGGUGCCCGAAAGGGAGCCUGAACACAGGUGCUGCAUGGCUGUCGUCAGCUCGUGUCGUGAGAUGUUGGGUUAAGUCCCGCAACGAGCGCAACCCUUGUCAUUAGUUGCUACGAAAGGGCACUCUAAUGAGACUGCCGGUGACAAACCGGAGGAAGGUGGGGAUGACGUCAAGUCCUCAUGGCCCUUAUGGGUAGGGCUUCACACGUCAUACAAUGGUACAUACAGAGGGCCGCCAACCCGCGAGGGGGAGCUAAUCCCAGAAAGUGUAUCGUAGUCCGGAUCGCAGUCUGCAACUCGACUGCGUGAAGUUGGAAUCGCUAGUAAUCGCGGAUCAGCAUGCCGCGGUGAAUACGUUCCCGGGUCUUGUACACACCGCCCGUCACACCAUGGGAGCGGGUUUUACCAGAAGUAGGUAGCUUAACCGCAAGGAGGGCGCUUACCACGGUAGGAU